rnacentral:tRNA from 1 species
GCGAUUAUAGUUAGCUCAGUUUGGUAGAGCACCUGAAAGGGAUGUCUAAGGUUCAAAUCCGAUAUAAUCGCA